GGGGAAUUUUCCGCAAUGGGGGCAACCCUGACGGAGCAAGGCCGCGUGAGGGAGGAAGGCUUUAGGGUUGUAAACCUCUUUUUUCAGGGAAGAAGUACUGACGGUACCUGAGGAAUCAGCCUCGGCUAACUCCGUGCCAGCAGCCGCGGUAAUACGGAGGAGGCAAGCGUUAUCCGGAAUUAUUGGGCGUAAAGCGUCCGCAGGUGGCGAUUAAAGUCUGCUGUCAAAGCCCGCAGCUCAACUCCGGUUAGGCAGUGGAAACUGAAUAGCUAGAG
rnacentral:rRNA from 1 species